GAUGAACGCUAGCGGCAGGCUUAAUACAUGCAAGACGAACGGUAAGUGUUGUAGCAAUAUAGCACGAGAGUGUCGUACGGGUGCGUAACACGUAUGCAACCUACCUUGUACAGGAGGAUAGCUCGGGGAAACUCGAAUUAACCCUCCAUAAUAUAUUUGAAUGGCAUCAUUUGAAUAUUAAAACCUUGGUGGUACAAGAUGGGCAUGCGUCUGAUUAGUUAGUUGGAGUUGUAAUGGACUACCAAGACGAUGAUCAGUAGGGGACCUGAGAGGGUGAUCCCCACACUGGCGACUGAGAUACGGGCCAGACUCCUACGGGAGGCAGCAGUAGGGAAUAUUGGUCAAUGGGUGCAAGCCUGAACCAGCCAUGCCGCGUGCAGGAAGAA
rnacentral:rRNA from 1 species